rnacentral:rRNA from 1 species
AGCGAACGCUGGCGGCAGGCUUAACACAUGCAAGUCGAACGCUCGUAGCAAUACGGGAGUGGCAGACGGGUGAGUAACGCGUGGGAAUAUGCCUUUUGGUUCGGAAUAACUCAGGGAAACUUGAGCUAAUACCGGAUAAGCCCGUGAGGGGAAAGAUUUAUCGCCAAAAGAUUAGCCCGCGUCCGAUUAGCUAGUUGGUGAGGUAAUGGCUCACCAAGGCGACGAUCGGUAGCUGGUCUGAGAGGAUGAUCAGCCACAUUGGGACUGAGACACGGCCCAAACUCCUGCGGGAGGCAGCAGUGGGGAAUAUUGGACAAUGGGCGCAAGCCUGAUCCAGCCAUGCCGCGUGAGUGAUGAAGGCCUUAGGGUUGUAAAGCUCUUUUGUCCGGGAAGAUAAUGACGGUACCGGAAGAAUAAGCCCCGGCUAGCUUCGUGCCAGCAGCCGCGGUAA